rnacentral:lncRNA from 1 species
UGCCUUAUUCCUGGACCUGUUUGUGUUAGACAUGUCUGUUUUGUCAGCAUUCAUCAAACAUAAACCACGCAUAUACAUGCAUACUUAUAACAUUCAGAUAUUCAUGUUGCAUAUAUUGCCAUAUAUCUUUUGAUUGUUGUCUCCUGCUAAUUGGUGAUAUAGAUCUCUUUAGUAGAUCUCCCUAAGCAGAUGUGGGUGUGUCUGAUCCUUCCAUGUAGAGUCAGCCCCUUAAGCAGAAAGUGUCUAUCUUUCAUGCCAUUUCCCCACUGAGUUAUA